rnacentral:rRNA from 1 species
CAUCCUCCAAGGCUAAAUACUCCUGACUGACCGAUAGUGAACCAGUACCGUGAGGGAAAGGCGAAAAGAACCCCGGCGAGGGGAGUGAAAAAGAACCUGAAACCGUGUACGUACAAGCAGUGGGAGCACAGGUUUACCUGUGUGACUGCGUACCUUUUGUAUAAUGGGUCAGCGACUUAUAUUCUGUAGCAAGGUUAACCGAAUAGGGGAGCCGGAGGGAAACCGAGUCUUAAUUGGGCGUUAAGUUGCAGGGUAUAGACCCGAAACCCGGUGAUCUAGCCAUGGGCAGGUUGAAGGUUGGGUAACACUAACUGGAGGACCGAACCGACUAAUGUUGAAAAAUUAGCGGAUGACCUGUGGCUGGGGGUGAAAGGCCAAUCAAACCGGGAGAUAGCUGGUUCUCCCCGAAAGCUAUUUAGGUAGCGCCUCGUGAAUUCAUCUCCGGGGGUAGAGCACUGUUUCGGCUAGGGGGCCAUCCCGGCUUACCAACCCGAUGCAAACUGCGAAUACCGGAGAAUGUUAUCACGGGAGACACACGGCGGGUGCUAACGUCCGUCGUGAAGAGGGAAACAACCCAGACCGCCAGCUAAGGUCCCAAAGUCAUGGUUAAGUGGGAAACGAUGUGGGAAGGCCCAGACAGCCAGGAUGUUGGCUUAGAAGCAGCCAUCAUUUAAAGAAAGCGUAAUAGCUCACUGGUCGAGUCGGCCUGCGCGGAAGAUGUAACGGGGCUAAACCAUGCACCGAAGCUGCGGCAGCGACACUCAGGUGUUGUUGGGUAGGGGAGCGUUCUGUAAGCCUGCGAAGGUGGCCUGUGAGGGUUGCUGGAGGUAUCAGAAGUGCGAAUGCUGACAUAAGUAACGAUAAAGCGGGUGAAAAGCCCGCUCGCCGGAAGACCAAGGGUUCCUGUCCAACGUUAAUCGGGGCAGGGUGAGUCGACCCCUAAGGCGAGGCCGAAAGGCGUAGUCGAUGGGAAACGGGUUAAUAUUCCCGUACUUGGUGUUACUGCGAAGGGGGGACGGAGAAGGCUAUGUUGGCCGGGCGACGGUUGUCCCGGUUUAAGCGUGUAGGUGUGUGUUCCAGGUAAAUCCGGUUCACUUUAACACUGAGGCGUGAUGACGAGGCACUACGGUGCUGAAGCAACAAAUGCCCUGCUUCCAGGAAAAGCCUCUAAGCAUCAGGUAACAUCAAAUCGUACCCCAAACCGACACAGGUGGUCAGGUAGAGAAUACCAAGGCGCUUGA